rnacentral:rRNA from 1 species
CGCGCAGGCGGGAUAUCAAGUCUAUCUUAAAAGUGCGGGGCUCAACCCCGUGAUGGGAUGGAAACUGGUAUUCUUGAGUAUCGGAGAGGAAAGUGGAAUUCCCAGUGUAGCGGUGAAAUGCGUAGAUAUUGGGAGGAACACCAGUGGCGAAGGCGACUUUCUGGACGAUGUCUGACGCUGAGGCGCGAAAGCCAGGGUAGUGAACGGGAUUAGAUACCCCGGUAAUCCUGGCCGUAAACGAUGGGUACUAGGUGUAGGAGGUAUCGACCCCUUCUGUGCCGGAGUUAACGCAAUAAGUACCCCGCCUGGGGAGUACGGCCGCAAGGUUGAA